CGCCGAGCCCACGCCCACCCAGAACUCGCGCUGGCCCCCGAGCACCGCGCGCAGCCCGGGUUCCCGCCUGCGCCUCUCCCUCCACACCUCCCGGCAAGCUGAGGGAGCCGGCUCAGGCCAGCCCAGGAAGAGGCUCCCACAGUGCAGCGGCGGGCUGAAGGGCUCCUCAAGUGCCGCCAAAGUGGGAGCCCAGGCAGAGCAGGCGCCAAGAGCGAGGGAGGGCUGUGAGGACUGCCAGCACGCUGUCACCUCUCACUAGGAUUACAGGCCUGAGCCACCGAGUCCCGCCAACUUAUUCAGAAACUGAGCACCUGACCAUAAGGUACCAAGGAGCCAUGGAUUUUGAGGAACGUUCCAUGAAACAAGUGUUGUAUGAUCUACCUAGCCAUACAGUCUGAUGUUGCCAGCAGCAUUCCAUCAAGUGAAAGCAGUGUAUACGUAGGACCAGAAACAAGCAAGAUACAACUCUGAGCUCUCAUUAUUUGGUGGUCUGAGAAAGCAAGAGAAGAAUACUUCUACCAGGGAAUACAACAGCAAUUCUAUUGAAGUUGAAAUUCAAUGGUCACUUCAGGUUCUUCUUAACCACCAAUACAACUGGUGAUUUCCCUCUUCAGUCUCCCCCGAGUCUCACAGAAGGAACUAACAAGGGAGCGCUUCAC
rnacentral:lncRNA from 10 species